UACGUAGGGACCGAGCGUUGUCCGGAUUCAUUGGGCGUAAAGAGCUCGUAGGCGGCUGCUCAAGUCGAAUGUGAAAACUCGAGGCUCAACCUCGAGCCUGCAUUCGAUACUGGGCGGCUAGAGUCUGGUAGGGGGAUCAGGAAUUCCUGGUGUAGCGGUGGAAUGCGCAGAUAUCAGGAGGAACACCGGUGGCGAAGGCGGGUCUCUGGGCCGAUACUGACGCUGAGGAGCGAAAGCGUGGGGAGCGAACAGG
rnacentral:rRNA from 1 species